rnacentral:rRNA from 1 species
GUGGGGAAUAUUGGACAAUGGGCGCAAGCCUGAUCCAGCCAUGCCGCGUGAGUGAUGAAGGCCCUAGGGUUGUAAAGCUCUUUCACCGGUGAAGAUAAUGACGGUAACCGGAGAAGAAGCCCCGGCUAACUUCGUGCCAGCAGCCGCGGUAAUACGAAGGGGGCUAGCGUUGUUCGGAAUUACUGGGCGUAAAGCGCACGUAGGCGGACAUUUAAGUCAGGGGUGAAAUCCCGGGGCUCAACCCCGGAACUGCCUUUGAUACUGGGUGUCUGGAGUAUGGAAGAGGUAAGUGGAAUUCCGAGUGUAGAGGUGAAAUUCGUAGAUAUUCGGAGGAACACCAGUGGCGAAGGCGGCUUACUGGUCCAUUACUGACGCUGAGGUGCGAAAGCGUGGGGAGCAAACAGGAUUAGAAACCCUGGUGUCC